GUCUUCGAAGAUCAGCGGUGAUCGUCGCGUUUCCCUGGACUCUAGGUACCUCACCGCGGGAAGGCGAGGGUUCGAGUCCCUCCGAAGACA